GCGCCCGUAGUUCAAUUGGAUAGAAUAUCUGACUUCGGAUCAGAGGGUUGGGGGUUCGAGUCCUCCCGGGCGCGC
rnacentral:tRNA from 1 species